AACGAACGCUGGCGGCAGGCUUAACACAUGCAAGUCGAGCGCCCCGCAAGGGGAGCGGCAGACGGGUGAGUAACGCGUGGGAACGUACCCUUUGCUACGGAAUAGCUCCGGGAAACUGGAAUUAAUACCGUAUGUGCCCUACGGGGGAAAGAUUUAUCGGCAAAGGAUCGGCCCGCGUUGGAUUGGCUAGUUGGUGGGGUAAUGGCCUACCAAGGCGACGAUCCAUAGCUGGGCUGAGAGGAUGAUCAGCCACAUUGGGACUGAGACACGGCCCAAACUACUAGGGGAGGCAGCAGUGGGGAAUAUUGGACAAUGGGCGCAAGCCUGAUCCAGCCAUGCCGCGUGAGUGAUGAAGGCCUUAGGGUUGUAAAGCUCUUUCACCGGAGAAGAUAAUGACGGUAUCCGGAGAAGAAGCCCCGGCUAACUUCGUGCCAGCAGCCGCAGUAACAC
rnacentral:rRNA from 1 species